AUACUUACCUGGCAGGGGAGAUACCAUGAUCACGAAGGUGGUUUUCCCAGGGCGAGGCUUACCCAUUGCACUCCGGGUGUGCUGACCCCUGCGAUUUCCCCAAAUGUGGGAAACUCGACUGCAUAAUUUGUGGUAGUGGGGGACUGCGUUCGCGCUCUCCCCUG
ensembl:snRNA U1 U1 spliceosomal RNA